rnacentral:misc_RNA from 1 species
GAUGAAGAACGCAGCGAAAUGCGAUAAGUAAUGUGAAUUGCAGAAUCCGUGAAUCAUCGAAUCUUUGAACGCACAUUGCGCCCGCCAGUAUUCUGGCGGGCAUGCCUGUUCGAGCGUCAUUACAACCCUCAGGCCCCCGGGCCUGGCGUUGGGGAUCGGCGGAAGCCCCCUGCGGGCACAACGCCGUCCCCCAAAUACAGUGGCGGUCCCGCCGCAGCUUCCAUUGCGUAGUAGCUAACACCUCGCAACUGGAGAGCGGCGCGGCCACGCCGUAAAACACCCAACUUCUGAAUGUUGACCUCGAAUCAGGUAGGAAUACCCGCUGAACUUAAGCAUAUCAAUAAGCGGAGGA